rnacentral:rRNA from 1 species
UUAUAUAAGUUAUCGUUUAUUUGAUAGUACCUUACUACUUGGAUAACCGUGGUAAUUCUAGAGCUAAUACAUGCUGAAAAUCCCGACUUCGGAAGGGAUGUAUUUAUUAGAUUAAAAACCAAUGCCCUCUGGGCUCUCUGGUGAUUCAUAAUAACUUCUCGAAUCGCAUGGCCUUGCGCCGGCGAUGGUUCAUUCAAAUUUCUUCCCUAUCAACUUUCGAUGUUUGGGUAGUGGCCAAACAUGGUUGCAACGGGUAACGGAGGGUUAGGGCUCGACCCCGGAGAAGGAGCCUGAGAAACGGCUACUACAUCCAAGGAAGGCAGCAGGCGCGCAAAUUACCCAAUCCCGAUUCGGGGAGGUAGUGACAAUAAAUACUGAUACAGGGCUCUUUUGGGUCUUGUAAUUGGAAUGAGUACAAUUUAAAUCCCUUAACGAGGAACAAUUGGAGGGCAAGUCUGGUGCCAGCAGCCGCGGUAAUUCCAGCUCCAAUAGCGUAUAUUAAAGUUGUUGUGGUUAAAAAGCUCGUAGUUGAACCUUGGGCCUGGCUGGCCGGUCCGCCUCACCGCGUGUACUGGUCCGGCCGGGUCUUUCCCUCUGUGGAACCCCAUGCCCUUCACUGGGUGUGGCGGGGAAACAGGACUUUUACUUUGAAAAAAUUAGAGUGCUCCAGGCAGGCCUAUGCUCGAAUACAUUAGCAUGGAAUAAUGAAAUAGGACGUGCGGUUCUAUUUUGUUGGUUUCUAGGACCGCCGUAAUGAUUAAUAGGGACAGUCGGGGGCAUCAGUAUUCAAUUGUCAGAGGUGAAAUUCUUGGAUUUAUUGAAGACUAACUACUGCGAAAGCAUUUGCCAAGGAUGUUUUCAUUAAUCAGGAACGAAAGUUAGGGGAUCGAAGACGAUCAGAUACCGUCGUAGUCUUAACCAUAAACUAUGCCGACUAGGGAUCGGACGAUGUUAUUUUUUGACUCGUUCGGCACCUUACGAGAAAUCAAAGUGC